rnacentral:lncRNA from 1 species
AGCCAUGGCACCCUCGACUGCAGCACUGGCCGUGGUCGCGCUCCUAGCUCUCUCCGCCUCUGCGAGCGACUCUCACCCGUCCCACAGGUGGAAGCGGCUGUCGGACCAGCGGCUGGCGGAGCUGCAGACUCUGGUGGCGCUGCAGGCGAUGGGCCACACCGUGCCCGUGGGCGCGGGCGUCGUGGACCCCAGGGCCGUUGGUCGCAAACGUUCUGAUUGGGAUGACACCUGGCGACCGCAAGGCGAAGCAGACGUGCCGCUGGCUCUGUACGGUGGAACCCAAGGAGUAUGGCCGGCGCAGCAGUAACUGCAAGAGCAGCCGAGACACUGGCCGCACAAAACGGUAUACUACGACAAAGAAUGCCCAGAAUGUUCCCAGCGAAAUGAUCAGCCGAUCAAAGAGAUUCCAGCUCCACCACUUCCGUAAUGAAGAUGGCUUCACACACUGCGAUUACUACAAGAUUCAGCC